rnacentral:rRNA from 1 species
CAGUUAUUGGGUAUCAAAACCUAAUAGCGAAAUUAACAUAACUUAUUAUGGGAUUAGUUUUUAGAUUAUUUAUAGUCUAUUAAUUCAAUCCCGGGGCGUUCUAUUUGGUUAUGUAUAAUAAUAUUUAUAUUAUUUAUACCUCUAACUAGAGCGUACCUUGAGCAUAUAUGCUGUGACCCGAAAGAUGGUGAACUAUACUUGAUCAGGUUGAAGUCAGGGGAAACCCUGAUGGAAGACCGAAACAGUUCUGACGUGCAAAUCGAUUGUCAGAAUUGAGUAUAGGGGCGAAAGACCAAUCGAACCAUCUAGUAGCUGGUUCCCUCCGAAGUUUCCCUCAGGAUAGCUGGUGCAUUUAGAAAUUAUGUAAAAUAAUCUUAUCUGGUAAAGCGAAUGAUUAGAGGCCUUAGGGUCGAAACGACCUUAACCUAUUCUCAAACUUUAAAUGGGUAAGAACCUCACCUUUCUUGGUAUGAAGGUUGUGGUUGUGAUAUAAUGUGCCCAGUGGGCCACUUUUGGUAAGCAGAACUGGCGCUGUGGGAUGAACCAAACGUAAUGUUACGGUGCCCAAAUUAACAACUCAUGCAGAUACCAUGAAAGGCGUUGGUUGCUUAAAACAGCAGGACGGUGGACAUGGAAGUCGUAAUCC